GUGGGGAAUAUUGGACAAUGGGCGCAAGCCUGAUCCAGCCAUGCCGCGUGAGUGAUGAAGGCCUUAGGGUUGUAAAGCUCUUUCACCGAUGAAGAUAAUGACGGUAGUCGGAGAAGAAGCCCCGGCUAACUUCGUGCCAGCAGCCGCGGUAAUACGAAGGGGGCUAGCGUUGUUCGGAUUUACUGGGCGUAAAGCGCACGUAGGCGGUUUGUUAAGUCAGGGGUGAAAUCCCGGAGCUCAACUCCGGAACUGCCUUUGAUACUGGCAAGCUAGAGUCAGGAAGAGGUAAGUGGAACUCCUAGUGUAGAGGUGGAAUUCGUAGAUAUUAGGAAGAACACCAGUGGCGAAGGCGGCUUACUGGUCCGGAACUGACGCUGAGGUGCGAAAGCGUGGGGAGCAAACAGGAUUAGAAACCCGCUGUAGUCC
rnacentral:rRNA from 1 species